UACGGAGGGUGAGAGCGUUACCCGGAUUUACUGGGUGUAAAGGGCGUGUAGGCGGUCUCUCAAGUCCGAUGCUAAAGACCGAAGCUCAACUUCGGGGGUGCGUUGGAUACUGUGAGGCUAGACGGUCGGAGGGGGUAGCGGAAUUUCCGGAGCAGCGGUGAAAUGCGCAGAUACCGGAAGGAACGCCGAUAGCGAAGGCAGCUACCUGGACGAUUGGUGACGCUGAGGCGAGAAAGCGUGGGGAGCAAACCGG
rnacentral:rRNA from 1 species